rnacentral:tRNA from 1 species
UUAAACGAAAUACAUACUAAGGAAAAGCUUCUAACUUUAAACUUUAGCAGUGAAAUUCUGUUAUAUUUCU